rnacentral:ncRNA from 1 species
GUGAACGCGAUGACGAACAUGGGCGAUGCCCGAAGUAGGAGAUAGGCCGCUGCUGCAGAGAGUCGGUGGAUGGUGCAAACCGAUGCAUGCUUAUAUGCCGAAUUACAGUUCUGAGUUGGUGAGGGGAAAGUGCGCUAUAUGGGCAUUAGUAGCUUACACCCGGCAAUUUAUUGUCGUUAAAUUUCUAAGUGAAAGAGAAGCUGCAUGCCUAUUGGCGCGCAAUCCGCUCUCUUUAAUUAGGGUGGUACCGCGAGACAAUCUCUCGUCCCUUUG